rnacentral:lncRNA from 1 species
UAAGAGAUUUAUGAGCUCUCUCUAUUAACGAGUUCUGAGGUUUCAGUCUCCCUUGGAGCUGAGUUCUUUACAAAAUAGUUAGACCCAAGCAUACAAACAGAAUAAAAGGAAAAUCAAAGUCAGCCGAACAAGAUUUUCCCGUUCAUCAUCCUGUGACUCGAUCCUUAACUAGAAAUCAUAACAAUUUGGUAUCAGAGACAGACACCAUGGGCGACGAUAUACAAACUCUAUUACAAGAGGAACGAUCUUUCACCGACUCGACAACCUUUGGGUGAGAAACUCGCACAAAUACUCCAGGAACAAUUAUCUGGAUUAGGAUUCAGCGCCAACAAACACACAACAAUCGGAAGUGAGUCGAGCAGCGCUACUGCCCCAAUAAAUGGGCGGACUGUAGAAUUAUAGAGAGAUUUAUGUUUAAAGAUCUGUUAGCAAUAUUAGGGGCUAAUAUCUAGGAGAUCUACAGCUAACAGAUCAGUUUUUCUUAUCCCAUGAUUUUAGGAGAUUUGGUAGUCUGUUACCAAAUCUGUAGAUAUAAGUUUCCUGUUUUAUAGCUUUCAGUUUAAGGUAUAUAAAGAGGGGCUGUAACCUUAUUUUUAAUAUAAUUGAAUCUUACUCUUUCCUUCCACAAACAAGAUGGUAUCAGAGCAAUCUCUGAACCCUAAUUCCCUCAUAUGACCAAAUACGGGAAACGUGAUUCAAGAGCUACCGUUUCCCAAAUCACCUCCAAUCAGGAAGCCAUGGCUUCCAACAAUGAUAGUAACCUCAUGCCCAUUACAGGACACAAACUGAAUGGGAACAACUAUCUCCAAUGGUCCCAUUCCGUAAUGAUGUUCAUAUGCGGAAAGGGCAAAGAUGAUUAUCUCACCGGAGAUGCUGCCAAACCAAACAAGACGGAUGAAAAGUUCAAAGUCUGGAAUGCCGAAAAUAAUAUGGUCAUGUCAUGGCUCAUUAAUUCCAUGACAAAUGACAUUGGAGAAAACUUUCUUCUCUAUGGAACAGCAAAGGAGAUUUGGGAUGCUGCCAAGGAAAUAUAUUCUAACAAUGAGAAUACAUCGGAAUUAUUCGAGGCGGAAAGUGUUCUUCAUGACUUCCGCCAAGGAGAAUUAACAGUGACUCAAUACUUCAACACUCUCAAUCGGUAUUGGCAGCAGCUAGACUUAUUCGAGGAGCACAAUUGGAGCUGUCCGAAUGAUGNNNGCCAAAAAUCCAGUUCAUCAUGAUAGAACAAAACAUGUGGAAAUUGAUCGACAUUUUAUAAAGGAGAAGAUAGAGGAAGGAAUAAUCAAGAUGUUGUACGUGCCUACAUGUCUUCAGACAGCAGACAUUCUUACCAAGGCUCUAUCGAGAAAGGUGUUUGAUGAUCUGAGUUCCAAGCUGGGGUUAAUUAAUAUUUACCGCCCAGCUUGAGGGGGAGUGUAGAAUUAUAGAGAGAUUUAUGUUUAAAGAUCUGUUAGCAAUAUUAGGGGCUAAUAUCUAGGAGAUCUACAGCUAACAGAUCAGUUUUUCUUAUCCCAUGAUUUUAGGAGAUUUGGUAGUCUGUUACCAAAUCUGUAGAUAUAAGUUUCCUGUUUUAUAGCUUUCAGUUUAAGGUAUAUAAAGAGGGGCCUGUAACCUUAUUUUUAAUAUAAUUGAAUCUUACUCUUUCCUUCCACA